ACUCCUACGGGAGGCAGCAGUGGGGAAUAUUGCACAAUGGGGGAAACCCUGAUGCAGCCAUGCCGCGUGUGUGAAGAAGGCCUUGGGUUGUAAAGCACUUUCAGUAGGGAGGAAGGUAGUGUAGUUAACACCUGCAUUAUUUGUACGUUACCUACAGAAGAAGCACCGGCUAACUCCGUGCCAGCAGCCGCGGUAAGUACGGAGGGUGCGAGCGUUAAUCGGAAUUACUGGGCGUAAAGCGCAUGCAGGCGGCCUGUUAAGUCAGAUGUGAAAGCCCGGGGCUUAACCUCGGAAUUGCAUUUGAAACUGGCAGGCUAGAGUCUUGUAGAGGGGUUAGAA
rnacentral:rRNA from 1 species